GUCUGAGAGGAUGAUCAGUCACACUGGAACUGAGACACGGUCCAGACUCCUACGGGAGGCAGCAGUGGGGAAUAUUGGACAAUGGGCGAAAGCCUGAUCCAGCCAUGCCGCGUGUGUGAAGAAGGUCUUCGGAUUGUAAAGCACUUUAAGUUGGGAGGAAGGGCAGUAAAUUAAUACUUUGCUGUUUUGACGUUACCGACAGAAUAAGCACCGGCUAACUCUGUGCCAGCAGCCGCGGUAAUACAGAGGGUGCAAGCGUUAAUCGGAAUUACUGGGCGUAAAGCGCGCGUAGGUGGUUCGUUAAGUUGGAUGUGAAAUCCCCGGGCUCAACCUGGGAACUGCAUUCAAAACUGACGAGCUAGAGUAUGGUAGAGGGUGGUGGAAUUUCCUGUGUAGCGGUGAAAUGCGUAGAUAUAGGAAGGAACACCAGUGGCGAAGGCGACCACCUGGAC
rnacentral:rRNA from 1 species